rnacentral:misc_RNA from 1 species
GAAAUGCGAUAAGUAAUGUGAAUUGCAGAAUUCAGUGAAUCAUUGAAUCUUUGAACGCACCUUGCGCUCCUUGGUAUUCCUUGGAGCAUGCCUGUUUGAGUAUCAUGAAAUCUUCAAAGUAAAUCUUUUGUUAACUCAAUUGGUUUCUACUUUGGUAUUGGAGGUCUUUGCAGCUUCACACCUGCUCCUCUUUGUUCAUUAGCUGGAUCUCAGUGUUAUGCUUGGUUCCACUCGGCGUGAUAAGUUAUCUAUCGCUGAGGACACUGUAAAAGGUGGCCAAGGUAAAUGCAGAUGAACCGCUUCUAAUAGUCCAUUGACUUGGACAAUACUUUUAUGAUCUGAUCUCAAAUCAGGUAGGACUGCCCGCUGAACUUAAGC